rnacentral:lncRNA from 1 species
AAAAUCUAUUUGGAAUAGUCCAAGCUUGAUUUUUUCCCGGAAUUCUUUUGACGGUGUGAAACAAUCCAUUGUAUAUUUGAUUGUUUUGUAUCUCGAUGAUUUCCAUUGGUGUUCUUGGUAAAAGUAUGUGAUUAAUCAAAGAGAACCUUGCCUGCUUUUGAAGAAUCUGGGCUUUUAUGGUAAUCUCUUCCCUCUUUUGAAGGUUUUUAGGUCCAAAAUUUCAAUUAAUUUCGAUAGAAAGGGUUAGAUUUCAAUUAAUUUUUACUGAAAGGGUUUUUAGGUGCUGUGCAUUUCUUGUAUUCUAUGCGCUCUUGUAUAUUUUCAAAUUUUGCAUUUGUUGAAAAAUGUUCUGUUCUUCUUAUGUUUCUAUUUCUUUUCCUAUGGUAUUUUAAGUUUUCACCAUUUCAAUUAUUUAUGUAAGUAUGAAACUUUUGGAAAAGAACAUUGCUUCUUUUCAGAUUUGUAGCCCCAAGUUAUUGGGUAUUUGUGUUUUAUAUGAACGAUAUGGCAGUAAAGGUAUCCUUGCUGUUUUCAGAUACUUGUUAUUGUUUGGGGUCAUAUUUUGAAAUGGUUAACCUAUUGUGUGACCUAUUUCGAAGUAGUUUGCUGUUUAAAGAUGUUUGAACUCAUUUACUUGGUAGUUUAGUGACUGAAGGUGAUAUUUGUGAAUGAAAUUAUAUUUGUUACAAGUUCAACAAUGAACGGUUGCUUCAAUCCAUUUUCUCUUAUGUUGAUAUCAUUGUUUUGCUGGAAAUGUUAUAUUAUGGAGAAGUGAUGUUUUAUUGAAAGUGUCCGCUAAUUUUGUCUUGGGAGAAUAGAUGAUGGAAAAAGUGGAAAGUAAUUCUUUGAUGGACUUCGAAAAUGUCAACAUGGAGUACAAUAUGAAUGUAGUUGAAAGUCAAACGGUGGGGGGAGAUGGAGUGAUUGUGCCAGAGGUUGGUAUGAAGUUCAAGAACAAAAAUGAAGUCUUUGAUUUUUACAAGUUAUAUGCUUACAACAUAGGUUUUUCAAUGAGAAAAAGGAAUUCGAGAAAGGAUGACGAUGGAGUUUUGCGAUACGUGACUUUCACAUGUAGAGGUUGAAAAAACGUAACACAAGCGGUUCUUUGAAGCCACAGCCUACAAUUCGAAUGGGUUGUAAAGCCAGGGUCUCUAUGUCUGCAGAUAAUCAUGGUUACUAGAGAAGUAAUAUGGUACACCUCGAUCACAAUCACAAAACAAGUCCAACGAAGUGGAGAUUGUAUUGAUGCAAUUGAUAACUAAGUGCGAUGUGAAAAAGAAGCUUGAAGUGAAUGACAUGGCUGGAAUUCCAUUAUACAAAAAUUUCAAUUCUGUAGUUGUCGAAGUCGAUGGAUAUGAAAAUAUGACAUGCAUUGAAAAAUAUUGUAGAAACUACAUUAAACAAGUUAGGCAAUUAAGCCUUGGAGAAGGAAAUGCAGGAGCAAUAUAGUCCUAUUUUUCAAAUAUGCAAGCACGGUCUGCAGGAUUUUACUUCUGUAUGGAUUUGGACAACAACUCGAGUUUAAGAAUAUAUUUUGGGCAAAUAAUCGAUAUAGGGAAGUAUAUAAGGAGUUUGGGGACGUCGUGACAUUUGAUACCACUUACUUGACUAACAAAUAUGACAUGCCUUUAGCACCUUUUGUUGGCGUCAAACACCAUGGACAAUCAACAUUGUUCGGUAGUGGUUUAGUCUCUAAUGAAAGCACGGAUACAUUUGUGUGGUUUUUUAGGACAUGACUUAAAUGUAUGCACGAUCAAGCUCCACAUGAAAUAAUUAUUGAUCAAGACAUGGCAAUGCAAAUGUCAUUCAGGUAGUUUUCUUAAAUACAAAGUAUAGAUGGUGCUAAUGACACAUUCUGAAGAAGUUGCCUGAAAAAUUUGGGUACCACAUCAAUAAAGGUUCAAUAUUCUUAGUAAUAAAUGGUUAGGUGUAGGAUUGUCAGACGGUUGAAGAAUUUGAACAAGGUCGGGGAUCGAUGAUCUAAACAUUUGAGUUGCAUGAUAACAAAUGGUUGUCGGGGUUAUAUGAGAACAAAGGUCGUUGUGUCCUUUGCUUCUUAAAAACAAAUUUUUGGAUUGGGUCAACCAAGUGAGAGCAUGAACGUAUUUUUCAAUGGGUACCUGCACUCGAAGACAUCGUUGAAACGAAUUGUUGAACAGUAUGAGUGAGCAUUGAGGAACAAGGUGGAGAAGGAGCUCCAUGCUAAUUUCAAGUCGUUCUCUCCAAUGGUUCCGAGUGCAACAACACAUGAAAUGGAAAAGCAAUUUCAAAAAGUCUACACAAUUUCAAAAUUCAAAAAAGUUCUAGCUGAGUUUACGGAUAAGGUUUACCGCAACCUCAUAUCUGCCUCUGAGGGAUGUUUUGGGACGACAUAUGAGGUACGAGAAAACGUCGUUUGCAUCGAUCGACGUGAAAAGAAAACAUUUUGUCUUGUUUCAGAGAGAUAAACGUGAAGUUGUUUGUAGUUACCACUUGUUCGAGUUUCACUAAAUCAUUUGCAGGCAUGUGAUCAUAGUAUUAAUCCGUAACGACGUCACUAUACUACCUACUAAGUAUGUACUUUGUAGGUGAAUGAGGGAUGUCAAUUGAUUGUACACGAGGAUCGCAAUAAAAUAUGAUGAUCUAGUAAGUACUCCAGGAUAGUUGAAGUAUGACAUAUGUGUUAAGCUUUCGCCGAGGUGGUAAACCUUGUGGCACAUGUUGAAGUACGGACCCGUGCGAUAAUGGAAUGGAUACAAGUUUAGUCUAAAGAGUUUUUGAUGAAAAAAUGGAGUACUGGAAACAAAAUUUUGUAGUCAUCAUACAAUUCAUUUAGGAUCGCAGAGUACUGGUUCACAAAAUGCGUACAACAUGAGCGCAUUGGAUCUUAAAGUGGUAAAGAGAAAUGGCACACCUAGAAACUUCGGAGGGAGAGCCCGUUGGAGUCGACUUCGAAGAAGACAAAGGUAUUUUGAUUUGUUUUCCUACAAACUUCAAGUGAAUAUUAAAAUAAAUUAUCGUUUAUUUCAAAUGGACAUACAAGCACCUUCAACAUGCAAAGGGAAGCGACCAACAGCGAGGCAUAGCAGUAUACCAGUGGGUGCACCUCAUGUUGAUGCAGCUUAACGAGAAGAAUCUUCCACAUAUUCACCAUUCACAUAUUCACAACUCUUGGUGGUUGGUAUACUUAUUAUAGCAUUUUCAUUACUUCUUUGUUACUUACUAUAGAGCCACAAGGGAAGUCAUUCGUUCACAAUUCCUUGUCCUUCGUCUAAUUGGAUCCAUCCGUUGUCGACACAUUUUAUAUUCAAUUCCAAAGGUAACAUUAUUGAUAGAAACUUAAAUGCAAUCUACGUUAUAAUGUCCUAUUGACUUCUUAAUUUUCAUGUUAUAUGUUAGGUCACGGUAUUCCAUACUUCUAUCAACAUUUACCGCAUCAAAGAAGCAUGUGAUUGUGAUAGGACAAAGUCAAUGGAGGGACAUAGCUAAACAAAUUUGCGUAUGGUUGAUGAAAUGCUAGUAGUAGAUAUUGUCCAUAAUCUUAUAAGCUUAAAGUGUACCUAUGGAGAGAACAAGAAUGGUGAAAUCUGAUUUAAAUUGUUAACUUGAUAAAUGUAGCGACCAUAACAUUAGCUAUAAUGGCAUAUCAUUCGUAAUUAUAAAACUUUGCUUUGGUUUUUAUCCUAAAUUUGCUAAAAGUUUUUGUGAUUACAUGCCAUUCACCCCACCUCCAUUAUCUGUCUUUUCUCAUUGCGUCCUUGCUUCGCAAAUUAGGCCAUUAGCAGCUCCUAUGCUAAAUGUAUCAGAAUUUGCAACUCCUCGGCUUGUAACGAAUUUCUCAACAAGUGGAGGACUUGCAAAUUCUGAUACAUUAAGCAUAGGAGCUGCUAAUGGCCUAAUUUGCGAAGCAAGGAAGCAAUGAGAAAAAGACGGAUAAUGGAGGUGGGGCGGAUGGGGUAUAAUCACAAAAACUUUCGGCAAAAUAAUGAUAUCAACAUAAGAGAAAAUGGAUUGAAGCAACCAUUCCUUGUUGAACUUGUAACAAAUGUAAUUUCAUUCACAAAUAUCACCUUCAGUCACUAUACUACCAAGUAAAUGAGUUCAAACAUGAUAAAAGAGCAAACUAUUUCGAAAUAGGUCACACAAUAGAUUAACCAUUUUAGAAUAUGACCCCAAACAAUAAAAAGUAUCCGAAAACAACAAUGAUACCUUUAUUGCCAUAUCGUUCAUCUAAAACACAAAUACCCAAUAACUUGGGGCUAUAGAUCUUCAAAAGAAGGCAAUGUUCUUUUCCAAAAGUCCUACACUUACAUAAAGAAUUGAAAUGACGAAAACUUAAAAUACCGCAAAAAAAGAAAUAGAAACAUAAGAAGGACGAAACAUUUUUCACAAAUGCAAAAUUUGAAAAUAUACUAGAGCACAUAGAACACAAGAAAUGCACAGCACCUAAAAACACUUUUAGUACUAAUUAAUUGAAAUCUAAACCUUUCUAUAAAAAUUAAUUGAAAUUUUGGACCUCAAAACCUUCGAAAGAGGCAAGAGAUUACCAAGAUUCUUCAAAAGCAGGUAAGGUCUCUCCGAUUAAUCACAUAAUGCUACCAAGAACAUCAAUGGAAAUUGCUGAGAUACGAAAAAAAAAAAAAAAAAAAAGAUUCUCGAAAAAUGUUUCUUGUACAACAUGGUGUUAUAACAUUGGUUUACAACAUUACGUGUAAGGCUGGGAAGUAGUGAGCGUGGACAGCUAAGAUGAAAAAAAAAAAAAAGGACUUUUCCAAGAAAUCCACUUCAAUAAGGGAGGAAAUCGUUUUAGAGGCAUCAUUUCUAUCGGAAGGGAAAAAAAUAAAAAUAGAAAAAAUGAAAAUAAAAAUAAAACUCAACCGAAGCCCCUAAUUCAUUCUCACCCAUUCAUCUGCGACUUUGAAUUUUUCUCUCGUUUCUCAAUGAUUCUCUGGUAAGAUUUUGUUUCAAAAUCUAUUUGGAAUAGUCCAAGCUUGAUUUUUUCCCGGAAUUCUUUUGACGGUGUGAAACAAUCCAUUGUAUAUUUGAUUGUUUUGUAUCUCGAUGAUUUCCAUUGGUGUUCUUGGUAAAAGUAUGUGAUUAAUCAAAGAGAACCUUGCCUGCUUUUGAAGAAUCUGGGCUUUUAUGGUAAUCUCUUCCCUCUUUUGAAGGUUUUUAGGUCCAAAAUUUCAAUUAAUUUCGAUAGAAAGGGUUAGAUUUCAAUUAAUUUUUACUGAAAGGGUUUUUAGGUGCUGUGCAUUUCUUGUAUUCUAUGCGCUCUUGUAUAUUUUCAAAUUUUGCAUUUGUUGAAAAAUGUUCUGUUCUUCUUAUGUUUCUAUUUCUUUUCCUAUGGUAUUUUAAGUUUUCAC